rnacentral:rRNA from 1 species
CAAAAUGGGAGGUAAAUUUCUCCUAAGGCUAAAUAACGGCGAGAGACCGAUAGCGAACAAGUACCGUGAGGGAAAGAUGAAAAGAACUUUGAAAAGAGAGUGAAACAGUAGGUGAAAUUGUUGAAAGGGAAACGAUUGAAGUCAGUCGUACAGACGGGGAAUCAGCCUUUUGAGCGUGAAUUCGUGGGAUUCAAAAAGAUUUUGAUUUUGCGGCAUUUGCGUUUUCUGGGUGUACUUUUCCGUAUUGUAGGUUAGCAUCGGUUUCGAUCGUUACAAAAUGAUCGGAGGAAUGUAGCUUCGACCUCGGUUGAAGUGUUAUAGCCUUUGGUAGAUGUAACGGUUGGGACCGAGGAUUGCAAUGAAUACCCAAACGGGCUAUCCGUCUGGUCUCUGAUUAGUGACUCUGGCAUUGAAAGCGUGCUUACGAUGUUAGAGUAUGCGGUCAAAAGGUUAGAACGGAUUAAAUUUGUUAAGGAUGCUGACGUAAUGGCUUUAAACGACCCGUCUUGAAACACGGACCAAGGAG